rnacentral:rRNA from 1 species
CCAGCUUGCUGGGUGGAUUAGUGGCGAACGGGUGAGUAACACGUGAGUAACCUGCCCCUGACUCUGGGAUAAGCGUUGGAAACGACGUCUAAUACUGGAUAUGAUCGCCGGCCGCAUGGUCUGGUGGUGGAAAGAUUUUUUGGUUGGGGAUGGACUCGCGGCCUAUCAGCUUGUUGGUGAGGUAAUGGCUCACCAAGGCGACGACGGGUAGCCGGCCUGAGAGGGUGACCGGCCACACUGGGACUGAGACACGGCCCAGACUCCUACGGGAGGCAGCAGUGGGGAAUAUUGCACAAUGGGCGAAAGCCUGAUGCAGCAACGCCGCGUGAGGGAUGACGGCCUUCGGGUUGUAAACCUCUUUUAGUAGGGAAGAAGCGAAAGUGACGGUACCUGCAGAAAAAGCACCGGCUAACUACGUGCCAGCAGCCGCGGUAAUACGUAGGGUGCAAGCGUUGUCCGGAAUUAUUGGGCGUAAAGAGCUCGUAGGCGGUUUGUCGCGUCUGCUGUGAAAUCCCGAGGCUCAACCUCGGGCUUGCAGUGGGUACGGGCAGACUAGAGUGCGGUAGGGGAGAUUGGAAUUCCUGGUGUAGCGGUGGAAUGCGCAGAUAUCAGGAGGAACACCGAUGGCGAAGGCAGAUCUCUGGGCCGUAACUGACGCUGAGGAGCGAAAGCGUGGGGAGCGAACAGGAUUAGAUACCCUGGUAGUCCACGCCGUAAACGUUGGGCGCUAGAUGUAGGGACCUUUCCAC